rnacentral:rRNA from 1 species
CAGCCGCCGCGGUAAUACCGAGGGAGCUAGCGUUGUUCGGAAUUACUGGGCGUAAAGCGCGCGUAGGCGGUUACUCAAGUCAGAGGUGAAAGCCCGGGGCUCAACCCCGGAACUGCCUUUGAAACUAGGUGACUAGAAUUUUGGAGAGGUCAGUGGAAUUCCGAGUGUAGAGGUGAAAUUCGUAGAUAUUCGGAAGAACACCAGUGGCGAAGGCGACUGACUGGACAAGUAUUGACGCUGAGGUGCGAAAGCGUGGGGAGCAAACAGGAUUAGAUACCCCCGUAGUCCCUGUCUCUUAUAC